AAAUUGAAGAGUUUGAUCAUGGCUCAGAUUGAACGCUGGCGGCAGGCCUAACACAUGCAAGUCGAACGGUAACAGGAAGAAGCUUGCUUCUUUGCUGACGAGUGGCGGACGGGUGAGUAAUGUCUGGGAAACUGCCUGAUGGAGGGGGAUAACUACUGGAAACGGUAGCUAAUACCGCAUAACGUCGCAAGACCAAAGAGGGGGACCUUCGGGCCUCUUGCCAUCGGAUGUGCCCAGAUGGGAUUAGCUUGUUGGUG
rnacentral:rRNA from 1 species